GCAUUGGUUUUACGACCAUGUAUACUUCAUCUUAACUCACUUUCUAUUUGCCCGUUUUAUUUAGUUAACGACAAUUUCGGUCUGCAUUUUUUCAAAGUGAGCCAUCUUAUUCAACAUGAUAGAUACUGGAUGCGCAGAACAAAUUUAACAUUCCAGAAAAAUUAUGCAACAAAACGGUUAGAAAGGAAUGAUGGAAAGAGUAGAUGAAAAAGAUUAUGUCACGAACUCUUCUAUGUAUUUCUCCAUUGAUCAGGUAUAUGUAACAUAAUAUAUAUAUAUAUAUAUUAUGUAUGUAUGAUAUAUACUCGAAACUCAACCGAUGCGAUGUAUCGGCUCUUCUCGAGGGAUCGGCGAAUCAUUCAGUGGGCUGCUUAAAACAAGGCCAAUCUUAAUUAGGGGAUGCACCGGCGGAUACGCUCCCAUGGGAUGCUCAUUGUUCUCCUACCUUUUUACACCGUUCUCCGAUGCGGCGCCAUAGCAGAGAAAGAGGAACGUCUACAUGGAUGUGGUGCGUCUAAAAGUGCAUGCCCCGUGCCCCUGGGAUAUCAAGUAGAGUACUACCGGUCUCCUCUAGCGUUUACCAUAGAACAAAAUUCCUUGGAUCGACGGAAGAUACAUAGAUAGAUAGCAUACAUAGAGGGAGUUCGCAUAUGCACACGUGACACUUAAGAGAUGAAAAAUCAUUCAAUAUGAUUUACGAUAUUCUAAAAUAACAGACAAAGUGAAAGAAGUUUUUCGAAUAGACAUAGAGAUUUCUAUAAUAUAAUAACAUUACUGAUGAUUCGUUUGUCAUUAAUGCAAAUAAAAUCAGCAUAUGUUUGCUUUCUUGGAUAACAAUGAAGAUAAAUAAUGAUAGAUAAUUUAAUGAUAUGUGUUUCUGGUGAUUAUGGAAUGGUUAUGCAGAUAUGAAACCUAACCAAAUUAAAUAUAGAUAUCCUAAUUGACAAACACAUAUAACAUGAUAUUUGAGAAGCAAUGGUGAUCAUGAAA